GCCGGGCAUGGUGGCGCAUGCCUGUAAUCCCAGCUACUUGGGAGGCUGAGGCAGGAGAAUCGCUUGAACCUGGGAGGCGGAGGUUGCAGUGACCCCAGAUCGCAUCACUGCACUCCAGCCUGGGUGACAGAGUGAGACUCCGCCUCAA
rnacentral:SRP_RNA from 1 species